rnacentral:lncRNA from 1 species
GUUGCCGCUUAUUUCUUGUUUUCGCAUAUGAGUUUGCAAUUCUCUUUCCAAAAUGUGUUAUGUUUCUUUCAUAUUGUUAACUUUCCCUUGUUGUUUAAGAACCUAUAAGGCUGAUUAUUUUUUUUAGGAAUUGUUGUUUGAUUGUUGUAUUAAGAUUUAGUAUCAUAGAUUUAUAUCAAUGUUAGCCUAAUUUCGUGUUAUGGAUAAAUUUAGUUGAGUUCUUGUUCCAACUGCUUAGAAUGCAUUCAGUUUCAAAAAUAAAUAAGUUUCGAUUCGGUUUGUGUCGAAGAUGAUUUUUCUGACUAGAACUGUUACUAUUCUUAUUUUCUGGCCUGCAUAACGGCAUUUUGUUGAAGUUUCAAAUUGCUACACUUGUAUUAGUUAAGUCGUAGUCGCUAUGCAUAUGCAUUAAUAACCAGUAUUCGACGCCAUGUUUUUUCGCUCUCUCAUUCUAAAUAUGGAAAUCACGAUAUACAUAGCUAUUUAAACUAAUUUUGUGUCUUUGUUAUUCUUUGUCCCAAAACUAUUUCACUUGAAUACUGCUAAACCCACUUACUGCUGUUCAUAUGCUAUUAUCACUUAUAAUUUAUCCACUCUUAUAUCUGAUGAAUAAUCUUUGCCAAUGUGCAUACUGUACUCGUCAAAUGCUUGUCAUGUGCAUAAAGUUGUCUUGUUUGUUAAUUCCAUAAAGUAGUAUUGCUAAUGAAUAAUUUCUGCCAGUGCGCAUACUUUACUUGUCAAAUGCUUGCCAUGUGCAUAAAGUUGUCUUGUUUGCUAAUUCCAUAAAGUAGGACUUACUUUAGUGGUCCAUGUUUAUUUUCCUUUUAUAUUUGUUGGAUCUUGUCCAACUCUAAUUCCUCUUCUUUUACUUUUGUUUGAUUUAUGGUAUGUUGGCGGAGUCUUAGUUGGACCCAAUCCCUAUUUCUUGCAUUCUCCGUCUUAUCGAGUCAAUCGCAUAAUUGGAACCAUGUGGAGUUCGAGAAGAGAAUGCAUGUUGUAAGGGAAGCUGAAACAGGUCUCGGAUUACAGAAAAAUGGGUUGUAUACAUUCGAUAUACACUGAUAUACAUCAGAUGUAUACAAAAAUGGGAAUUGAGCUAAGAGCCCAAAUCAGCAACGAGUUUGGCCAAAAAAAGGGCCCAAAUUCAUCUUCUCCUUUAUUCUCUUAGAUUAUUUAGUUGUGAUUAUUUAUUGUUAGUUUUUUUUUUUUAUUAACUCUAACUUUAAAUAACUUAAUUGAACUCCCCAAAGGAUGAACUAUUUUCUUUGUGUUGGCUUUCUUUGUGUUGGUUUAUUUUAAUAAAUUUUAUUUUAUCAACUCUUGCACCCUUAUUUACUUAUUCAAAUGUUUUCUAUUCAAAACUUUCACUUACUUUUAACCAGUUUAAACUGAUUUCUUGGUUUAUCGACUAAAUUAGUUCAAAUUAUUAUGAGUCAAAUAAACUUUAAUUAAUAUGGUUUGUUAAAAUUUUAAUCACUUGCAUUUAAUUCAAAUGUUUCAUUUAGGUCCCUUUCCCUAUAAAAUAAAAUAAAAUGUGUCGUUUAUUUAAUCUAUUUUUUCAAAUUAAUCGAGUAUUGUAAAUAAAUAUUAUUAUUUAUAUAUAUUAAAUCAUUUUCCUAAAAAAAAAUAGUGCAAAAAAUAUUUAACCUAAGUCAUAGGAUAACCGCGUGUUAGCGGGCGCUUCAAAUGUUUUAAAAACCUUCUUGAAGCGUAAAUAAGAAUCUCUUACUCAUUUUUCUCUAAAUUUUGAAUGACUUAAUCUGUUAGAGUUUUUUCAAAUAAAUUUUCUUAAUUUCUUUAAAAAAUUAAAUGUUGACUCUUCUGAGUAUUUUUCUCAAAUUGUUUUAUACUUAUAAUAUUUCAAAAAGUGAUUUGUCUAAAGAUAGUAAAAUUACGACAUAACAAAAAUGGCGACUCCGCUGGGGAUUAAUAGGUUCUAACGAUAACAGAUUUAGGUUAAUUAUUAAGGUUUUUAACAUAUGGUUACUUGUUUGCUUAUUUUACAUGCCUAAUGCUUUAUUUUUCAUGCUUAUUUGUUAUAAACUGCUUAUUUGUUAUUGUUUUUCAUAAAUUGUAUAUUUGUUAUUGCUUUAUAAACUGUCUGGAAAAUUUACACAAUCACACGUACACGCGAUGUGUCUUUCAAAAUUUCAAUUUUUUUUUAGGAGAGUUGGCAUAUGCGCGGGGUGUCCAGAUCUUUUUUCGUGUGACCGCGUAGCCUCCUCAUUCGAGUUGUCCACUCGAGAACCUUGUGUCUAGUAAGCCAAAUAUUAGAAAACAUAACAUAGAGCUAAGCCACCCCUCAAUUUAAGUCAUGCAUGCAUACACCUUAGGUGGAUCGAUCUCGGGUAUCGAUUCCACAUUUAAGAAAUCCACCCUUAUGUCGACGGGUUUCACAACCCAACGACCAACAAACAUGUUUUGUGCAACGUGAUAAUGAUAGAUGGAUCCAAGCCUAAUUUUGACAUAGUGAGUUUGGAAAUUAUGUGUUCAUUCUUGUUAUUUUUUUGAUAAGAUGAAUUUAGUCCUCCAAGUGCCUAAAAUUAGAAUGGUCGAGGGUUUCCCGCGCAAAUUGAAGACCUGGUGAAAAAAUUUAACUCCAAGUGAAAAACUAGCAAUUGCAAGAAGGUUGGAGUGCCUCACUAUGCUAUUCCAAGUUAACCCGGACAAACAUGUGAUUAGAGCGUUGAUUCAGUUUUGGGAUUCAGACCGUGUUGUGUUCGCGUUCAAAGACUUUGAACUAACAAUUAAAUUGGAGGAAAGCUGUUAUUUCACCUGUUUUAAGUAUCGAGAAAGAGGUCAAAUUAUUCCACACAGUCAAUCAGGGUAGAAAUUUCUUCGCUACUUAGGAAUGAAAAAUUAAAAGAAACUUUGAUGCUUCGAACAUAAUUGGAUUUCUCUGGAUUACUUAUAUGAAAGGUAUGGACGCUCGGAUAGUUACAAAGUGUUCAGGAAAGAAUUCUCUUGCACUUAUGUUCAUUGGCAAGCCAGACGUCCUAUCGCAUUUGUUGUGGCUUUACUAGGGACUUUAGUGUUUCCACGAGAACAUGGUCAUAUUAGCACCUGCAUAUGUUUUGUGGCUCGUGUACUUUUUAAAGGUGUUAAUGGCAAAGAACUCACUCUAGUUCCCAUGAUUUUAGUAGAAAUAUUUCGAGCUCUUGGGAAAUGUAAAAGAGGGGAAGCAAACUUCUUUGAAGAUUGCAAUCUUCUUUUACAAAUAUGGGCAAUAGAACAUUUUCACCAGCGUAAAAAUAUGGAUGACAUAUGCUUUAGUAAGGCAAAUCAUAUUGACAGUUUUACGACAUGACGAGAUGGUUUGUGUCUCCGGUUGGUACUGAUGACUGGUAUGGAUAUUUGGCCUCCCGCACCAGUAACCAAAUUCAGUGGAAUUAUCCAUUACUCUCACGUUCCCCAGCCUAUAUAAGAUGCAGUAGGUUUUACUAUAUCGAGCUUAUUGGGUUGAAAGGUCUCCAGCCAUAUGCUCCGGUGCGUGUGCUUCAACAAUUUGGUCAAGCACAAGUAAUCCCUCUUCGAGCAAACAUGAGAGUUUCUGAAAUUUCCUUCGGACCAAACUUUGAAGUCCCUCGAUCCGGAGAGAUUUUUCAUGAAUGGAACAAUAUUCUCACGAUAGAUAUAGGAAAUGGGCCAGAAAGAGAAAUUCCAGAAUAUCAGGUGUGGCUUCGAGAAGAUCGCAAUAGCAUGAGUCCAAAAGGCGAACAAGGUUUUGAGGAUAUUGGGACGACGAUCUGGAUAAGACAUUCUCAUCUUGGAACGGAAGUGGUCACUCCUGAAAUGUGAGCUCAAAUGGAAACUAUAAUGCAAUAUUUGGACAAUGCGGUAGCAGGGCCUAGCAACGUGGGAGCGUCAUCUUCACUUCCUCCACCAGCGUGAUUGAUAACAAAUUUAGGCCGAGUCUUAGAUUUGUCUUUAUAUUGUGUCAUUUUUUUUUAUGUAUUUUUAGUUUAUUCUCUCUUUGUCGUACCAUUUUAUUGGUAUUUAAUAAAUAUUUGGUCUUUGUUUUCCAAACUCGAGUUGUCACAAAUUAAUGUCUUGGAUCAAUCUAUCAUAAUCACAUUAUGUUUGACGUUUAGGCCUACCUCUGGCAUAAAAAUGGUCACAAAUCUAAGGCGCGAUAUAAAUUGUUUGUGUGCUGCUUGAUAUAACUGUUUUGUGUUGUGAUGUGUCAUUUUGUCUAAAGCAGAAUUAAUCCACUUUUGUUUAUUAGAGCACCUUAAGCAUAUAUUAAAAUCCACAACAACAAAGUCCGUCCAAGUUACUCCUGAAGUUUUGUCUAAGUUUCUCAGAAAAUAUAUAAACCCUUUAAAAAACUUCUAAAUUUCCAUCUCUCAAUUUGAGAAAGGUUAGCUUGCUAGAAUGUCUAGAAAAAGUGUUAGCACGCCAAUGCCGACCAUUGAUCUGGUUAGUGUCAAAGAAACCGAAGAAUCAAUGUUUAAAAAAUUGCCAAGACUGAUUCAAACUACGCUUGGCCUGGAUUCCCCGGAAGGAUACAUAGGCAGCCUACUUAAGGCUCGGUCCCUAUCCUGUAAAUUUUUAUCCUCCAUUUUCUUGAAGGAUUCUGAAAGAUUUCACCUAAAAGAUAUGAGUGGAAGAAGUUAGCAAUAAUAUAUACAAGUUGACUUUCUUGAUUCAUUCAAAUGAACUAACCAAAAAAACAAUCCUUCCAUUUGAGUCCUCCCUUUCACCCAAAAUACAUUCGUGGAUUAAUCUGUUUAAAGCAAAAUGACAAUUAUAUGUUUAUUCUUAUAUCAUCUUAUUUGUAUUUCUCAUUAGAAACAAUAACUAACAUAGCUACUUUUGAGUUGUUUUUCAUUUAUCAGGUAACUAGAACUAAUCUGUGUUGAGAAAUUGGCCGAGCAUCCGUACUUCACGAGAUCUAAAGUCCCUAAAGAUUCCUUCCCGGGCCAAAAUCUAUUGAAAGGAAAAAAAAGAUGACUGGAAAUGGUGAGAACAUCGGUUUGAAUGAGAUCACAAUAGUAGACCCUAUCAUUACUGAGCAGAAUGAGUUGAUUGCUCAACUGGCACAACAUAUUGCUGAAAUGAGUGUUGAGAUGCAUAAGACUCGGGAGUUGGCAAAUUUGGCUAUCACUACUAACACUUCUCUUCCAAACAACGAAAGACCUCCACUCCAUUUCCCUACUUCUAAUCCCACACCCGAACAUUUCCCACAAAAUCCACCUAUUGUUCCAGUCCAAAAGGCCCCAACUGUCGAAUUAAACACAACUAACCAACAUCAUGCUAGAUCUUCCUACCAAACACCUCAUCUAUCUCAAAGCCUAAAUUCUCACAACUCUCAAGCAUUUCCUUCCAUGUACCAAACUCCUCCUCAAAACACUUCAAACCCACCUACUACUCAACCCCUACCUACAAAAGCCACUUUCCAUAUUCCAAUCCUCACAGAACCACAUCUUCCAUACACUACAUAUCCCGAACCCGAUCACUAUGAGGAGAAGGAAAAUGAGUGGAGGGUCAAAGAGGAAAUGAAUAAGCAGAGCAUGAAUGAAGAAAUUAUGAAAGCUAUGAAAGAGCAUCAUUACAUUCCAGAUGUUAUAGGGCUAAACUAUGAAGACUUGUGUAUCCAUCCAAACUUGGACCUUCCCGAUGGGUUUAAGGUACCAAAGUUUGACACUUUUGGAAGAACUGGGAACCCCUUAGCUCAUUUAAGGGCAUAUUGUGACCAGCUCGUAGGAUUUGGGAAAAAUGAAGCAUUGUUGAUGCGGCUCUUCAGCCGAAGUUUGAACGGAGAGACCUUAGAAUGGUUCGCCUCCCAAGUUAUGAAGCAAUGGCCUAGUUGGAAUGCUUUAGCUAAAGAUUUUAUUGAGAGAUUUGCUUAUAAUGUAGAGAUCGUUCCAGAUCUAUACUCCUUGGAAAAGAUUAGGCAAAAAUUCACCGAAAACUACCGUGAAUAUGCAUACAGGUGGAGAAAAGAGGCUGCCAGAGUUCAACCUCCCAUGUCUGAAAAAGAGAUCACUGAAGUAUUUCUGCGCAUCCAAGAGCCAGAAUACUAUGAUAGAAUGAUGCUGCUCAUUGGAGCAAAAUUUGCUGAGAUAGUCAAAGUAGGUGAGACUAUAAAAGAUGGUCUUAAGACCGGAAAGAUCGCCCGGGUGGCGGCCCAAGCCGGAUCUUCGGGACUAUUGAGGAAGAAAAGAAAGGAUGUGUAAUUUGUUUCUCAUGCAUAUGAUAGAAGGACAAAGAGAUCGUUUGAAUUUAGCUCUAGAAAAUCUUCACCCUCCAAAGCCUAUCCCCCAGCUCCACAAAAUCCCUACCCAAUCUUCUAUGUCCAACCAAAUUUCCAAACUCCACCUCCUAAUCUCCCAGCUCCACAUUACCAAAAUACCCCUCCAAACUAUCUGACUCCACAAUCAAAUUACCAAACUCAACCAUACCCAAAAUUCCAAACACAAACACUUCCCCGCCAAAAUCCUUUAAAUUACCGUCAAGUACCUCCACCUCCACAAAAUAACUAUGACCUUCCUCGUCCAAAAUUUGAAAGGAAACCUCCCAGAAUUUUCACUUCUCUCAUUGAAAGUCGAACUAAGUUGUUCGAAAGAUUGAAAGCUGCAGGCAUGCUUCAUCCCAUCGAACAUAAACCUGUCAACACAAACUCUAAAUUCUUUAGAGCUGAUCAGAUAUGUGCAUACCACUCCAAUAGUGCAGGGCAUACCACCGAAGAUUGCAUCAACCUGAAGCAUAAGAUUCAAGAUUUAAUUGAUCACAAGGUGGUCACCCUUCAGACUACCUCUCCUAAUGUGCAUUGUAACCCUCUACCAAAUCAUGGGGGAGAUACUAUUAAUAUGAUUGAAAUAGAAGAGGUUUGGAGUGCUGCUAAGACGGUAGUCAUAUCGAAUCUUGACAGUCUUCAGAGGGCUGUAGCCUCUUUAAGCAUAAGCAAGAAGCCCGAGUUCAUGAUAAAAACACCCCAUCAAGCUUUUGUUUUGGGUCCAAAGAAAGGCCUUACUGAGAAAGAGUUUAUGAUAAUGGCACCUCAUCAAGCUUUUACUUCAAUGCCAAAGGAAGGCCUUACCAAAAAAGAUUUUGUGAUCGAGACCGCUAUUGCCCAUAGUAUGACUAGAUCUGGUAGAUGUUAUACACCAGAAGAAUUGGCUCAAGGAGGCCACAAGAGAGACUACCAGAAAAGGCCAAUCAGUGAAGCUGAAGCCGAGGAGUUUUGGCGGAGAAUGCAGCCUAAAGAGUAUUCCAUCAUGAAACAUUUGGAGAAGACAACUGCUCAAUUUUCUGUAUGGGCAUUAUUGAUAAGUUCACAGCAACACAUGAAUGCUUUGUUAAAGGCUUUGAAUGAGAUUCACGUACCAGUGGGGACAAACAACGAUAAUCUCCCAACCAUGGUAAGUAAAUUCAUCGGAGGCCAUCGUGUUAGUUUUAGCGAUGAAGAAUUGCCUUGUGAAGGGGUGAUACAUAACAAAGCCUUGCGCAUCACAAUAAAGUGUCGGGACAAGAUUGUGAAUUGUGUUCUGAUAGAUGACGGAUCUGGACUUAAUAUUUGCCCAUUGUCGACUCUCAAGCAACUGAAUUUUGAUCUUGGGAAGAUUCAUCAGAACCAAGUCAAUGUGAGAGCUUUCGACGGGGGUCAAAGAGAAACAUUGGGCGUUGUUAGUCUAGGUAUUAAAGUAGGACCUGCAGAUUUCAUUGUCGAGUUCCAGGUGAUGGACAUCACCACUAGCUACAACCUUUUACUCGAAAGACCUUGGAUCUAUAUGGCUGGGGCCGUGCCCUCUACCCUCCAUCAGUUGAUGAAGUUUGUAUGGAACGAUCACGAAGUAGUCAUUCAUGGUGAAUGAAGACAUUCGAAUGACUAUGCCCCAAUUGUCGACGAUGUGGCAAGAGGUUCUGACUUCUAUACAGUAGAGAUAGUGAAUGCUACCGAUGAUGAUUUGGCCUCACAUCCCCCUAUGCCUUCCAUUUACAAAAUGAUAGACACUUUGAUGUUGAGAAGUGCAUUUGAACCUGGUUUUGGAUUAGGAAAAUAUUUGCAAGGUAUCACUGAGCCUAUUCAAAUUUUCACAAAAGGUUCAAAGUUUGGCUUGGGAUACAUCCCAAUAGCAGAUGAUGAGACGGGAGCUUCGAGUAACAAAGUGGUUGAUUGGGAAUUAGCAAAACCGGUACCUCACUUAUACCAAUCUUUUCCAGUACAAGAAUAUGUCAAUAAUGAUGGCCUCAGGGAGGGAAUCGAGAAUCUUUUUGAAGAAUCUAAUGUUGUGCUUGAGGAGAUGAUCGAGACAUCUGGCAUUCGAGAUGCCACACCAGAAGAGCAAGUGCCUAAUUGGACAUCCACACAACUCUUGGUUCCUCACUCGUCUUGGUAGACAAAGACAUAUCUAUUUUACUUAUUUCUAUAAUCGGUGGUAGUCUGAAUGAGGCCUAAGACCCACCUUUUAUGUCGUUUUACCUCUUUAAGCUUUAAUUUCCCUCGUGAUGUUUAAAAAGGCAGAUUGGCCUAUGGUCAUGGCCAAAGUUUGUACUUUCUUUUAAUCUAAAUGAAAGCCUCCUUUAUUUAUUAAAUCUAUUUAUUCAAAACUUACUAAUUUGUUUUACACUUUUUUUUUAUCUGACAUGGCUUAUUUAUGAUUUCAGUAAAAAUAACNNNNNNNNNNNNNNNNNNNNNNNNNNNNNNNNNAAGAAACCAGGAUCAGUGUCCAUCUCACAGAAACUCAAAAAGAAGAGCUCAUCAGUUUACUUAAGCAGUACAUCGACGUAUUUGCUUUGUCCUAUGAUGAUAUGCCCGGUUUGAGCUCAUAUAUUGUUUCUCACAAGUUGUCGAUCAAUCCAGAUUUCAGUUUGGUAAAGCAGAAAACUCGGAAGUUCAAGCCAGAUUUGAGUUUGAGAAUCAAAGAAGAAAUUACCAAAUAGAUUCAAGCCAAGGUUGUUGAGGUUACUAAGUAUCCAACUUGGUUAGCCAAUAUUGUUCCAGUGCCUAAGAAAGAUGGUAAAAUUAGAAUAUGUAGUUGAUUAAUAGAGAUCUCAAUAAAGCCAGUCCUAAAGACAAUUUUCCAUUGCCGAAUAUCCACAUUCUCAUUGGCAACUGUGCUAAGCAUGAAAUGCAAUCAUUUGUGGAUUGCUUUGCGGGUUAUCAUCAGAUUUUGAUGGAUGAAAAAGAUGCUGAAAAACGGCUUUCAUUACACCAUGGGGUGUUUAUCAUUAUCGGGUAAUGCCAUUUGGUCUUAAGAAUGCCGGGGCCACAUACAUAAGAGCCAUGACAGCUAUCUUCCAUGAUAUGAUCCAUGAAGAGAUUGAAGUAUACAUGGAUGACUAAUCAUCAAGUCCUGCAAGAAUUCAGAUCACUUGACCCAUUUGAGAAAGUUCUUUGAUCGGUUGCGUCAAUACAACUUGAAGUUGAAUCCCGCUAAAUGUGCUUUUGGAGUACCUGUUGGUAAAUUAUUGGGUUUCAUAGUUAUUAGAAGAGGCAUUGAGCUUGAUCCUACCAAAGUCAAGGCGAUUCAGGAUUUACCGCCUCCGAAGUCUAAGAAAGAAGUUAUGAGUUUCCUUAGAAGAUUGAACUACAUCAGUCAAUUUAUAGCUCAAUCCACGGUAGUUUGCGAGCCCAUCUUUAAGUUGUUGAAAAAAGAUGCACUAACGGUGUGGACCGAAGAGUGUCAAAAAGCUUUCGAUACUAUCAAAGAUUAUUUGACAAAUCCACCAGUAUUGGUACCUCCGCGAGAAGGAAGUCCAUUGUUACUAUACUUGUCCGUCUCAGAGAAUGCAUUCGGGUGUGUAUUAGGACAACAUGAUGAAACUGGAAAGAAGGAAUGCGCGAUAUACUAUCUUAGCAAGAAGUUUACUCCAUAUGAGGCUCGGUACACUCUAUUGGAAAGAACAUGUUGUGCUUUGACUUGGAUCGCCCAAAAGCUGAGGCAUUAUUUGUCUUCAUAUACUACAUAUCUUAUUUCCAAGAUGGAUCCAUUGAAGUAUAUUUUCCAGAAAGCUAUGCCGACUGGAAAAUUGGCGAAAUGGCAGAUGCUUCUGAGCGAGUUUGACAUUGUGUAUAUUACUCAAAAAGCGGUAAAAGGACAAGCAUUGGCCGAUCAUCUUGCAGAAAAUCCAAUCGAUGAAGAAUAUGAACUGCUCAAAACAUACUUCCCUAACGAAUAUGUGUUGUUCAUAGGAGAAAGCAUUUCUGAGUCAUACCCUGGUUGGAGGGUAUUCUUUGAUGGAGCGGUGAAUUAUAAUGGAGCUGGAAUUGGAGCGGUUCUAAUAUCGAAAUCCGGUCAACACUACCCUGUGGCGGCUAAACUUCGAUUCCAUUGCACCAAUAAUAUGGUAGAAUACGAGGCUGCGUUAUUGGCAUAAUGUUAGCCAUCAACAAAAAUGUCCAAGAGUUGCUAGUAAUUGGAGAUUCAGACUUGUUAAUUCACCAGGUUCAAGGGAAAUGGGCCGUGAAGAAUCCAAAGAUUGUACCAGAUGUACAAUUGGUGCAAAGAUUGUGCAAAAGAUUUCGAAAGAUAGAGUUUAUGCACACUCCAAGGUUCCAAAAUGAAUUUGUUGAUGCUCUUGCCACUAUCUCCUCUAUGAUCAAGCAUCCAAAUCAGAAUUACAUUGAUCCUUUGGAGAUAGACUUAAGGGAACAACCCGCUCAUUACUCGCAUGUCGAAGCGGAACCAGACGGAAAGCCGUGGUAUUAUGAUAUAAAAGUACCUGGAGACUGUGAUUUAUCGAGAAGAUGCGACAUCCAAUCAAAAGAAGGCAAUACGUCGCUUGGCUAACAAUUUCUUUCCAAGUGGGGAAAUCCUUUAUAGAAGGACUCUAGAUUUGGGACUCCUCAGGUGCGUAAAUUCUAUUGAAGCUACAAGACUUUUGGAGGAAGUACAUGCUAGAGUUUGUGGACCUCAUAUGAACGGGCUUACCUUGGCAAAGAAAAUCCUUCGAGCUGGUUAUUUUUUGAUGACUAUGGAGCACGAUUGUUGUAGAUUUGUGCAAAAGUGUCAUAAAUGUCAAGUACAUGGUGAUUUGAUCCGAGUACCUCCUCACGAACUUAAUACUAUGGGAUCGCCUUGGCCAUUCGUGGCCUGGGACAUAGAUUUAUUUUGGUUGCCAUUGAUUACUUCACCAUGUGGGUGAAAGCAAAUUCUUAUAAAUUUGUGACGAAGAAGGUAGUAGCUGAUUUCGUUCGUAACAACUUGAUAUGUCGAUUUGGACUACCUGAUUCCAUUAUUAUAGACAAUGGUGCAAACCUCAACGGUCAUUUGAUGAAGGAGAUAUGUGAGCAAUUCAAGAUUACUCACCGAAAUUCGACUGCUUAUCGUCCUCAAAUGAAUGGAGCCGUAGAAGCUGCCAAUAAGAACAUCAAAAAGAUUUUGAGAAAGAUUAUUGAUAAUCACAGAGGUUGGCACGAGAUGUUACCAUAUGCUUUGUUGGGAUACCGAACAACCAUUAGAACAUCAAUCGAAGCAACUCCAUACUUGCUAGUAUAUGGGACAGAAGCAGUGAUACCUGCUGAAGUUGAAAUACCUUAAUUGAGGAUCAUUCAAGAAGCCGAACUGAGCAAUGUUGAUUGGAGUCGUAAUCAGAUUGAACACUUAGCCUUAAUUGAUGAAAAGAGGAUGACCGCUGUUUGUCAUGGCCAAUUAUAUCAACAAAGAAUGAUUCGUGCUUUCAAUAAAAAAGUGAGAUCUCGAACAUUUAAAAAAGGACAAUUGGUCCUCAAACGCAUUUUCCCCCAUCAAGAUGAGUAUAAGGGGAAAUUUGCACCAAAUUGGCAAGGACCAUACAUGGUUCGUAAAGUGUUAUCUGGAGGUGCCUUGAUCCUGUCAGAGAUGGAUGGCCAGGAAUGGCCAAAACCAAUCAACUCAGAUGCUGUCAAGAGAUACUACGUCUGAAGAUUAGUUCCUGCUUGUAAUUGCUUAUGUCAAGUUUAUAUAUCCUUGUAUUGAACUACAUUUGACCUGAAUUCUCAAAAAUGAGAUACGUAGGCGGCCUAUCUAGGCCUCGGUCAUUUGCUUAGUAAAAUUUCCUAUUUCUUUUAUUCUCAAGAGAGGAACUACGUUUGACCUGAAUCCUGCCUCAACGGGAUACGUAAGCGCCACAACGGCUCGAUCAUACACCCCAUAAAAUUUCCAUUUCCCUUUAUAAUGGAAACUGGGGCAGAAUUUUUGAGAGGAGCUCAAAAAUUCUAAAGAUUAUUCCUCAGCAAGACAAGAUUGAGCAUGCAUUAGGAAAAGGCAAUUGGGGCAUAAUUGUUGUGAAGAUCUAAAAAAAAAUCCGCAAGUCUUCCUACCAAAGAUUUGAGAAAUGACAAGGCAUUUCAUUGGGGCAGAAUUUUUGAGAAGAUCUCAAAAAUUCCGCAAGUCUUCCUACCAAAGACUUGAGAGAUUCCAAGAAAUUUCAUUGGGGAAGAAUAUUUGAGAAGAUCUCAAAAAUUCUAUCAAGUACUGUCAGAAGGUCAAAGUUAACGACAAGUAAUCUCCAUCAUGAUUAGAGGCUCAUGAACCCAAUAUCUCAGAAAUUCAAAGUCAAGGUUCAAUUAUAUUUUGAUUUCCCCAGCUUAAAAGGGCUUUUAGAUUGGAUAUAUUGAAGUUGAAUUGAAGUGUUCAUUUAAGCUUUAAAGUGACAUGACACUUGGCAGUGACCCUCAUCAAAUUACAUUUCAAAAAUCCAUUUUUCUUAAAACUUUAGACAUAUAUUAAAUAUUUUGUAAAAAAUAUAUAUAUAGAUAUAUCUUAUGACUACCAAGAAGCGGGAAGCUAGAAGCAAUCAACUGAAGAUAGCAAGAGGAAAAGCAAGCGAUCAAGGAAGUCAACACAAAUUAGGUCAUUUAAACCUAACAAAUUUUCUGUGGAUGUCGGUUUGCAAGGAUAUCAAGAGAUCAUCAUGUUCAACAAAUAUGGGAAAGUCAGAAGAGCAAAAGCGCCCAAGACUGACAUUUUUUUUAUGCAGGAAAAGGCAUUGAUAUUCCUGCAAUAAAAGUAGUUAACUUGGUACUUUAAAUAACAAUGUCUUGUUCAUAAUUCUCCACAAAGUAGGAGCCACAACGAAGAUACAAGUGAUCAAAGAAAAAGUAGGUGAAAGCACCGAGAGGGUGGCACUUUAAGAUGUACAAAUGACUAUAAUAACGUCAUAUUGCAUUUUCCAGCGUCAAAGACGUUUGAAGUGCACACGUAAAACACAUCAAUUAUCGGAGAGAAUUUGAAGUGCAACUUGCCAAAAAUAUUCAUUAUCACGUUAAAGUCAAAAGAGGCUAACGUUGAAGAAUAUUUGUAAGUCACAUCAAUACCAGAUACAACGAUGUGCAUUGCCGAGAGGGCCAUCCAUAUUAUAUUAUCAGAGGUGAUAAUAUUAUUGCCGAGAGGGCCAUCAAUAUUAUAUUACCAAAGAUAGUAAUAUCAUUGCCGAAAGGGCCAUCAAUAUUAUAUUAUCAGAGGUGAUAAUAUCAUUGCCAAGAGGGCCAUUAACAUUAUGUUACCAGAGGUGGUAAUAUCAUUGCCGAAAGGGACAUUGCAGCUUCCGUUGCCAAGGGGCCAUCAUAUUCAGACUGCCAAGAGGGCCAUCAUAUUAGAACCGCCAAGAGGGCCAUCAUAUUCAGACCGCCAAGAGGGCCAUAAUAUUCGAACCGCCAAGAGGGCCAUCAUAUUCAAACCGUCGAGAGGUCCAUUGCAUAUCCAACUGCCGAGAGGGCCAUUAUAUUCAAACCAUCAACAUAUUACAUUAGCCUAUUUGACUACUUCAAUAUUAAAAGAAGAGUAUAGUGAAGAUCCAUGGCGCAAAUAUGAUAUACAUGCUUUAUUUGCUUUACGUCAAACUGAAAGAAGUUGACGUCAAAUAUUCAAGGAGAACAAUUAAGUGCCAACAUGGUAAAUGACACUAUCUCUCCAUUUGAAUUAUAUUUUACACUAAUGAGUUUUAUCUCAGUCUNNNNNNNNNNNNNNNNNNNNNNNNNNNNNNNNNNNNNNNNNNNNNNNNNNNNNNNNNNNNNNNNNNNNNNNNNNNNNNNNNNNNNNNNNNNNNNNNNNNNNNNNNNNNNNNNNNNNNNNNNNNNNNNNNNNNNNNNNNNNNNNNNNNNNNNNNNNNNNNNNNNNNNNNNNNNNNNNNNNNNNNNNNNNNNNNNNNNNNNNNNNNNNNNNNNNNNNNNNNNNNNNNNNNNNNNNNNNNNNNNNNNNNNNNNNNNNNNNNNNNNNNCCACAUUCAUGGCUAAGAGGUUGCAAGCCUCUUUUUCAUACUCGACUUACUUGUCACUCUUCCAGAACCGAAGGUUAUCUAGCAUAAUAGAUUUUCUUUUUAACCGAUCGAGUCGAACUACAAAUAGCAUGAUUCCUAAGGUUUAAGGAUAUGUAGGCGGGCUCAAUGUUGAAAACUCGACUGUAUUCGACAUUCUCUCUCAAAUCUUAUUCUCGAGCAUUCUGGUCUCUUCAUAAUUUGAUAUCGGGAUAGCUUUCUCAUUCAUAAUCGUGUGUCAAAUCAAGUUUAUCGAACUACAAGUGGCCUGAAUUCUCAUAUAGCCUGAGAUAUGUAGGAAACCCGAUAUCGGGGUUCGGCCAUAAUUCCUAAAGUCUGUACCAAAAUACUUUUUGAAGAGAUGAAAUGGGGUCGAUCAAAAUUGGAUUUGUCAAUCUUCUUUGCCCAGAUUCUCUUUCAUCGACCCUACCCAAAGAAGGGGGCAGUUGUUGACACCAAAUUUUGACCCUAUGCAAUUCGAGUUAAUUGUCAAGCUUCUUCAAUUUCAAACAAUUUGAAAUAAUCAUCUUUGAAAAAUCCUAAAAAUAUAUAUAUUUUAAAAUCUCUUUCUAAUUAGUUUUGGUUAAUAUUUUUCAGAAAUAAUUAUAUAAUUUUACAUGUUGGUUUAUAUAAUUCUCAUCUUUUAUAUAAAUAUUUAAUAAAUAGCCUAAAAAUAAUGUUUAGCAUAAUUGUGCAUUUAUUUCUUUGAAUUAGUGAAUUUUAUAAUUUUGUAUAAUUAGUUCUCUAUUUUAAAGCAAUAAAUAAGUUUUGAUAAUUAUUUUGUCUUGUUUAAAUUAAGAAGCCCAAAUAAUUAAUCGAUUUAGUUAAUUGACUCAAAUUGAUUAUACCUACUCAAAUUUGUUAAAUUAGCAACUAAAAUGGCCAAUUUUAAAUAAAUUAGGCCAUUCUCUUAAUCCCCACACAUUCCCAGGCCCUCACACGUUUCUUUUUUCUUUUCCAAUUCUCACGCGAUAAUCUCCCCUUCUUCUUCCCAAAGACGCAAAAGUCAAGCAAGAACCUAAUUUCUUCAUCCAAGCAAUUUUAUUUCCGUCAGCCCCUUUUUAAAUUUCAAAGAUUGUAGACUUUAGGUUAGAUUUUGUUGACUUUGGCUUAGAUAAAAUCUCACCCAAAUCUAAUCUGAAUCGGAGGAUAUCACAUCGAAUCCAGAUUUUUGGAGGUAUGUUCUUCUCUUACUCAUUUUCUCCUUCCAUUCUCUCCAAUCAAUCUCUCAUCUCCCGCUCAAACGGCUAUUUGAAUUCAAACCUUUAUUUUUUAUUUUUUGCUAUAAAUACAUGGUAUUGGUGCCAUUUAGACGGAGACAAAAAAAAAUAGGGGACAGACAGAGGAUUGAAAUUUGAAGGUUGGAGAAUAGUAUUCCCUGAAAUCGAACCCACGAAGGUUUGGGCCUCGGAUUUUCAAUUUUCUUUCAAAUUCUUUGGAUCAUCUGUUGGUGGCGGUCAGUGGUAGUAGGAAGCUCUUCAACUCGUUUGUCUCAGUCGCUGCCCUCAAAAAGGUAAAAACCUGUUUCUCUUCUUACUGCUCUGUUAACUUCAGGUGCACCUGGGUUAUUGUGUUUGAAGUUAUGUGUGGUAUUAUUAGUUUUCUCAUCGAGCUCUGUAAUUGUUUCUCUCAUGUUGUGAUUAUAGGAUGAGUGUGUGUUGUCGCUUAUUUCUUAUUUUCGCAUAUGAGUUUGCAAUUCUCUUUCCAAAAUGUGUUAUGUUUCUUUCAUAUUGUUAACUUUCCCUUGUUGUUUAAGAACCUGGAAAGGUUGAUUAUUUUUUUUAGGAAUUGUUGUUUGAUUGUUGUAUUAGGAUUUGGUAUCAUGGAUUCAUAUCAAUGUCAGCCUAAUCUCGUGUUAUGGAUAAAUUUAGUUGAGUUCUUGUUCCAACUGCUUAGAAUGCAUUCAGUUUCAAUAAUAAAUAAGUUUCGGUUCGGUUUGUGUCGAAGAUGAUUUUUCUGACUAGAACUGUUACUAUUCUUAUUUUCUGGCCCGCAUAACGGCAUUUUGUUGAAGUUUCACAUUGCUACACUUGUAUUAGUUAAGUCGUAGUCGCUAUGCAUAUGCAUUAAUAACCAAUAUUCGACGCCAUGUUUUUUCGCUCUCUCAUUCUAAAUAUGGGAAUCACGAUAUACAUAGCUAUUUAAACUAAUUUUGUGUCUUUGCUAUUCUUUGUCCCAAAACUAUUUCACUUGAAUACUGCUAAACCCGCUUACUGCGGUUCAUAUGCUAUUAUCACUUAUAAUUUAUCCACUCUUAUUGCUAAUGAAUAAUCUUUGCCAAUGUGCAUACUGUACUCGUCAAAUGCUUGCCUUGUGCAUAAAGUUGUCUUGUUUGUUAAUUCCAUAAAGUAGUAUUGCUAAUGAAUAAUUUCUGCCAGUGUGCAUACUUUACUUGUCAAAUGCUUGCUAUGUGCAUAAAGUUGUCUUGUUUGCUAAUUCCAUAAAUUAGGACUUACUUUAGUGGUCCAUGUUUAUUUUCCUUUUAUAUUUGUUGGAUCUUGUCCAACUCUAAUUCCUCUUCUUUUACUUUUGUUUGAUUUAUGGUAUGUUGGCGGAGUCCUAGUUGGACCCAAUUCCUAUUUCUUGCAUUCUCCGUCUUAUCGAGUCACCGCAUAAUUGGAACCAUGUGGAGUUCGAGAAGAGAAUGCAUGUUGUAAG